rnacentral:rRNA from 1 species
UGAGUACGAGAUGCUACGGCAUCGAAGCAGUCUAUGUCAUACUUCCAAGAAAAGCUUGCAAUGUCAUAAACAAAUAAUGCCUGUACCAUAACCGACACAGGUGGGUAGGUAGAGUAUACUAAGGGGCGCGAGAUAACUCUCUCUAAGGAACUCGGCAAAAUGACUCCGUAACUUCGGGAGAAGGAGUGCCUUAUUUUUAUAAGGUUGCAAUAACAAGAUCCAAGCAACUGUUUACCAAAAACACAGGUCUCCGCUAAGUCGUAAGACGAUGUAUGGGGGCUGACGCCUGCCCAGUGCCAGAAGGUUAAAGAAGUUGGUUAGCAUUAGCGAAGCUGAUAACUGAAGCCCUGGUGAACGGCGGCCGUAACAAUAACGGUCCUAAGGUAGCGAAAUUCCUUGUCGGGUAAGUUCCGACCCGCACGAAAGGCGUAAUGAUUUGGAUACUGUCUCGGAGAGGGGCUCGGUGAAAUAGACUUGUCUGUGAAGAUGCGGACUACCUGCACCUGGACAGAAAGACCCUAUGAAGCUUUACUGUAACUUGAGAUUGAAAUUGGACUUUAUCUGCGCAGUAUAGGUGGGAGACGUUGAAAAUAUUCUUGCGGGAAUAUUGGAGUCAUCAGUGAGAUACCACUCUUAUAAUGUUAGAUUUCUAACUUUGUAUCAUUAUCUGGUCAAAGAACAGUUUCAGGCGGGCAGUUUGACUGGGGCGGUCGCCUCCCAAACGGUAACGGAGGCGCACAAAGGUUUCCUCUGAACGUGUAGAAAUCGUAUCUAGAGUGUAAGGGCAUAAGGAAGCUUGACUGUGAGACCUACAAGUCGAGCAGGGACGAAAGUCGGUCUUAGUGAUCUGACGGUGCUGAGUGGAAAGGCCGUCACUCAACGGAUAAAAGUUACUCUAGGAUAACAGGCUGAUCUCCCCCAAGAGUUCACAUCGACGGGGAGGUUUGGCACCUCGAUGUCGGCUCAUCGCAUCCUGGGGCGGUAGUACGUCCCAAGGGUUGGGCUGUUCGCCCAUGAAAGCGGUACGCGAGCUGGGUUCAGAACGUCGUGAGACAGUUCGGUCCAUAUCCGGUGUAGGCGUUAGAAUAUUGAGAGGAGCCUUCUUUAGUACGAGAGGACCGAGAAGGACAUACCUCUGGUGUACCAGUUAUCGUGCCAACGGUAAACGCUGGGUAGCCAUGUAUGGAGAGGAUAACCGCUGAAAGCAUCUAAGUGGGAAGCCCACCUCAAGAUAAGUAUUCUC